rnacentral:rRNA from 1 species
UACGGAGGGUGCAAGCGUUAUCCGGAUUCACUGGGUUUAAAGGGUGCGUAGGUGGGUUGGUAAGUCAGUGGUGAAAUCCCCGAGCUUAACUUGGGAACUGCCAUUGAUACUAUCAGUCUUGAAUAUUGUGGAGGUCAGCGGAAUAUGUCAUGUAGCGGUGAAAUGCUUAGAUAUGACAUAGAACACCAAUUGCGAAGGCAGCUGGCUACGCAUAUAUUGACACUGAGGCACGAAAGCGUGGGGAUCAAACAGGAUUAGAAACCCUUGUAGU